CAGGUGGUCAGGUAGAGAAUACCAAGGCGCUUGAGAGAACUCGGGUGAAGGAACUAGGCAAAAUGGUGCCGUAACUUCGGGAGAAGGCACGCUGACACGUAGGUGAAGUGAUUUACUCAUGGAGCUGAAGUCAGUCGAAGAUACCAGCUGGCUGCAACUGUUUAUUAAAAACACAGCACUGUGCAAACACGAAAGUGGACGUAUACGGUGUGACGCCUGCCCGGUGCCGGAAGGUUAAUUGAUGGGGUCAGCGCAAGCGAAGCUCCUGAUCGAAGCCCCGGUAAACGGCGGCCGUAACUAUAACGGUCCUAAGGUAGCGAAAUUCCUUGUCGGGUAAGUUCCGACCUGCACGAAUGGCGUAAUGAUGGCCAGGCUGUCUCCACCCGAGACUCAGUGAAAUUGAACUCGCUGUGAAGAUGCAGUGUACCCGCGGCAAGACGGAAAGACCCCGUGAACCUUUACUAUAGCUUGACACUGAACAUUGAGCCUUGAUGUGUAGGAUAGGUGGGAGGCUUUGAAGUGUGGACGCCAGUCUGCAUGGAGCCGACCUUGAAAUACCACCCUUUAAUGUUUGAUGUUCUAACGUGGACCCGUGAUCCGGGUUGCGGACAGUGUCUGGUGGGUAGUUUGACUGGGGCGGUCUCCUCCUAAAGAGUAACGGAGGAGCACGAAGGUUGGCUAAUCCUGGUCGGACAUCAGGAGGUUAGUGCAAUGGCAUAAGCCAGCUUGACUGCGAGCGUGACGGCGCGAGCAGGUGCGAAAGCAGGUCAUAGUGAUCCGGUGGUUCUGAAUGGAAGGGCCAUCGCUCAACGGAUAAAAGGUACUCCGGGGAUAACAGGCUGAUACCGCCCAAGAGUUCAUAUCGACGGCGGUGUUUGGCACCUCGAUGUCGGCUCAUCACAUCCUGGGGCUGAAGUAGGUCCCAAGGGUAUGGCUGUUCGCCAUUUAAAGUGGUACGCGAGCUGGGUUUAGAACGUCGUGAGACAGUUCGGUCCCUAUCUGCCGUGGGCGCUGGAGAACUGAGGGGGGCUGCUCCUAGUACGAGAGGACCGGAGUGGACGCAUCACUGGUGUUCGGGUUGUCAUGCCAAUGGCACUGCCCGGUAGCUAAAUGCGGAAGAGAUAAGUGCUGAAAGCAUCUAAGCACGAAACUUGCCCCGAGAUGAGUUCUCCCUGAGACUUAGAGUCUCCUGAAGGAACGUUGAAGACGACGACGUUGAUAGGCCGGGUGUGUAAGCGCAGCGAUGCGUUGAGCUAACCGGUACUAAUGAACCGUGAGGCUUAACCUUACAACGCCGAAG
rnacentral:rRNA from 1 species